rnacentral:tRNA from 1 species
GGGACGGUAUCCAAGCUGGUCAAAGGACGCAGUCUGUAAAACUGCUGGCUAAAAGCCUUCGAGGGUUCAAAUCCCUCCUGUCCCA